rnacentral:rRNA from 1 species
AUUGAACGCUGGCGGAAUGCUUUACACAUGCAAGUCGAGCGGCAGCACGGGGGCAACCCUGGUGGCGAGCGGCGAACGGGUGAGUAAUACAUCGGAACAUGCCCAGUCGUGGGGGAUAACACUUCGAAAGAAGUGCUAAUACCGCAUACGUCCUGAGGGAGAAAGCGGGGGAUCGCAAGACCUCGCGCGAUUGGAGUGGCCGAUGUCAGAUUAGCUAGUUGGUGGGGUAAGGGCCUACCAAGGCAACGAUCUGUAGCUGGUCUGAGAGGAUGAUCAGCCACACUGGGACUGAGACACGGCCCAGACUCCUACGGGAGGCAGCAGUGGGGAAUUUUGGACAAUGGGGGCAACCCUGAUCCAGCCAUUCCGCGUGAGUGAAGAAGGCCUUCGGGUUGUAAAGCUCUUUCGGCAGGAACGAAACGGCGAGCUCUAACAUAGCUUGCUAAUGACGGUACCUGAAGAAGAAGCACCGGCUAACUACGUG